UAAUGAAAAACAAUAAUAACAAUAAUAAUAAUAAGACUCUUAAAUAAUAUUUAUAAUUAAUUUUUAAUAAAAGUCGUUUUUAUUAUUAUAAUAUAUAUAUUUUUGAUUGUGAUAUAGUUUAACAUAUAUCACAUUUUUAAAUAUAUAACUACCAUGUGUCACGAUCAUUUUAAUUAGCAAUUUUGAAGAACCAAGCUCAAUAUAAUCUUUUAUAAUUAUAUUUUCAUUAGAAGUUUAGAAAAUAAAAAUUAUAUUAAAUAAAUUGUUUUCAAAUCUAUUUUUUAGGAUUUUGAAAAAUAAAUAUUUCUAAAAACAUUAAUACUAAUUAUUUUUAAAAAUCGUUUUUACUAUUAAAUAAUUUUUAAAAGUAGUUUAAAAAAAAAUAUUAUCUUAUUAUAUAGAUUUUUAAUCUUUUAUAUAUUUAAACACAUGUCACAAUAUUAGAAAGAAAAUUAUUAUCAAAUAAUCUUUUGCAAUAAUCUUUUGAUUAGGAUUUUUAAAAAGUAAAAUUACUAUUAAAUAAUAUAUUUAAUAAGAUUUCUAAAUAAAAUUCGCUUUUGUUGAUAUCUUAGUAUAUAUAUUUUUAAUUAUGAGAUAGAUUAACACAUGUCAGAAUCUUAAAUAUAUAAUUGUUAUGUGUCGCGAUCAUAUUAAUUAGCAAUUUUGAAGAACCAAGCUUUAUAUAGUAAGAUAAGAUAUUUUUAAAAUAAAAUUAUUAUUAAAUAAUUAUAUAGGUAUAAAAUUUUUUUUAUAAUAUGUCGUAAUCUUGAAUAUUUUAUUGUCAUCUAUCAAAAUAAUUUCAUUUGUAACUAUUUUUGUUUGAGAAAUUGUCAAUAAUACCAUUUUUCUUAUACUAUUUUUCACUUAUACAAUAACCAACUAUACCACCAGAUUUUUAAUGGUCAAAAUACCAUUGUACCCUUAAAUAAUUAAACCUAAAUUACUCUUCUUCUCCCCUACGACAGGUGUCUCUCGCCGGAGAUAUCGGACAGGUUUCUCUCGCCGGAGGUAUCGUCUCCGAUCCGAUCAGUUACUGUGAGAUCGCAAUUGAGUACGCCUCUAAUUUCAGGUAAAGAUGAGUGAGGGACUCGGACUGCUCUCUUCGCCACUGGUGCUUUUGGUCUAUAGUAAGCCUUCUUCAUACCUUUCAUUGUAUUGUUGGUUUUGAUCUAAUGAUUUUAAUUUUAAUUUCCUGCUCUAGAAGUACAAGUCGGAGCACCAGAAAUGAGAGAGAGCUCUGAUAUUAAAGAUCUAAUCUCCUACAGAUACGAUUUAAUCAACUUACUGAACUCCAAGAACGGAUUCGGCGUCGUAUCGCAUAGCUUCAACCACUCAAAAGCUCUCCACUUCGCUUGCGAUGAGGAUUUCAAUCAGAUUCAGGAAUCUAUUAAAGGUUAGUUUCUUCACUUGGGUCUCUAGAAAACUUCGAAAGACUGAUACUUUACAAGAAUCAACAAUAUAAAAGUGUUCAAUUUGUUUUGUUUUGUUUUAAAAGAAAAAAAUGCAGAUUGUAAGAAGAAGCUAGAAGCUUGCAAGAAGAAAACAGAGGAAGCUUAUUCAGAUGAAUCAGCAGGAGACGAUGACAUUGAGCGUCUUCAGAAAGAGCUUGAUGAAGAUAUGGAACUAGAAAGCAAGAUAAAUGACGAGCUUAGAUAAGUGUAUAUACUUUAGUUUCUAGUCCCUUGGUUCAGUGACAAGAAAAGUCUUUGUUCUGUCUGUCAAUACAGUCGUUGCUGAUGAACUCAGACACCUGAAUGCACAAUGGACAUCGGUUGAUGAAAAGAGGCAAUCUUUAAAGAGUAAAGACCGGACGACUUGAGAGCUGAGAAGAAGCUUUCUAUGUAUGUUUGUGUCACAAAGGUUAUACCAGAAGCAGACGUUAAUGAUCCAUCAAAGAUAUCAGGCUGUAUCCUUCUAUGUAUGCUUGUGUCACAAAGGUUAUACCAGAAGCAGACGUUAAUGAUAAAUCAAAGAUCUCAGGCUGUAUCCUUUUUCUUUUCAUCAUCUCUCUACUUCACGAGUCUCAUUCCUUGAGUGUUUUCAAUCCUUGAUUUAAAGUAUUCAUUAGAUAUGGUUUGAGAAGUUCCAAUUAGAGACAAAUAAGAUGACGGCCUAUGAGACAUGUAACAGUAUCUGGAGCAUCAUCAUAAACAAGCAAUCCUAUGAUAUCAAAUGAAUAAACAUUAACGUAAAGAACGUAAACAAGAAUUGAAAACCGCUGGGCUUCAUUCAUACCUUCUCUCCUAAGAAAGCUGGAGACAAACAUGCUUAGACCUGAUGGUCCAAUGACAUAACCAACAAGAUUUGCCAUCUGCAAAUUGAGAAACUUUAUAAAUACUUUCAUAAAGAUUUACUUAUAAUUUUUGUAAGAAUUUAUAAAUGAUCUAUAAACUCUUCUAACUGAUUUAUAAAUUGAUUUAUAAACUCUUAUAAAUUGUGUUAUGAAGAUUAUUAAAUUCUUAUAAUCUUUGGAAUAAACCCUUAUAAAUAGAUUUAUAAACUCUUAUAAAUAGAUAUAUAACCUUGUAAAUUAAUUUAUAAACACUUUUAAAUAAAUGUAUAAACUCUUAUAAAUAGCUUAUAAGUUCUUGUAAAUAGUUUUAUAAACUCUUUUAAAUAUUUUUAUAAACCUUUAUUAAAUGCUUAUAUAUUAGUUAUAAAGGUUUAUAAAAUGUUUAUACUAGUUAUAAUGGUUUAUAAAUUAUUUGUAAGGAAUUAUAUAUAAUUUAUAAAGGUUUAUAAAUAAUUCUGAAGAUUUAUAGAUCAUUUCUAAUGAUUUCUAAGUUAUUUAUAAUGGUUUAUAUAUACUCUGGUCUGGAUGAUCUUGCAGCAGCCUGCAAGGCAAUGGAAGGUGUAGAAGUAAUUAAUGGCCUUGGGUGCAAGAUGUCUUUCUCAUCCUACAAGGUAAACAGUGAAUCUAUUCUUAAACCAAACCGGUAUGAGGUUUCAUGUUUUGAUAAUCUUGAACUAGAAGAACCAAUAUACACACAAGGCCGGUCCUGGGCAAAGCCUAAUGAAAGGUCUUGGGUAAAGCCUAAUGAAAGGUCUUGGGCAAAGCCUAAUGAAACAUUCCUUAGGCCCCCAAACUCUUUGAAAAAUUUUAUAUGUAAAUAGGCCCCCAAAUUAAAAAAAAAAGUUUAAGCCCCGAAAUUUUUUAAAUCUUUACUAAAUCGUCUAGGACCCCCAAAUUCUCAGGACCGGUCAUGUAUACACAUAUAUAUAUAUAUAAGGGCUGGUUGCUUCAUCUAGCUCUUAUGUAUUCAUAACAUCUCUUGUAGAUUUCGUAUGUUUUGGACACAGAGGAUUUCUUCCACAGGAAAAAGAAGCAGAAGAAGAAGAGCAAGAACUUGGAACAUGACAAAUCAUCAUCACAGCAACGCAACUUGUACAGAAUAGAAAGAUUCCACAACUUGUAUAAAUAGAUUUAUAAAUAGAUAUAUAACCUUGUAGAUUAAUUUAUAAACACUUUUAAAUAAAUGUAUAAACUCUUAUAAAUAGCCUAAAAGUUCUUGUAAAUAGUUUUAUAAACCCUUUUAAAUAGUUUUAUAAACCAUUAUAAAAUGUUUAUAUAUUAGUUAUAAUGGUUUAUAAAUUAUUUAUAAGGAAUUAUAUAUAAUUUAUAAAGGCUUAUAAAUAAUCUAAGGAUUUAUAGAUCAUUUGUAAUGGUUUCUAAGUUAUUUAUAAUGAUUUAUAUAUCCUUUCUAAGAGGUAUAUAUAUCAUUUAUAAGGGUUUAUAUUAUUUAUAAAAAUUCAUAAACCAUUUAAAAUCAUUUAUAAGGGUUUAUGCAUUACUAUAAGGGUUUAUGAAUUGUUUAUAAGAUAUUAAAAAUCAUUUGUAAUGGUUUAUAAAUCAUUUGUAAUGAUUUAUAGAUCAUUUAUAAGAUGUUUAUAUAUCACUUUAAUGGUUUAUAAAUAGUUUAUAUAGUCUUAUAAACAGUUAAUAUAAUAUUAUAAAUAACUUAUAAAACCUUAGAAAAUUAUUUAAAUUCAAAAGAAACCAUAAAAUUAUUUAUAAAGUCUUAUAAAUCGUAAUGCAUCUCCAUGUAAAUAGCUUUCAUCUAAUGACUACGGCCGAUUUGGAUGGCCUAACCUAUUUAUUAUACUGCUGCAUCCAUAGAUAAGCUCAUAGAAGCAUCCAUAACCGGAAAAUAUGCUACUAGCAUAGGCAUUUGAGCAAUGAAACCACCUCUGAGAGCCUGGCGGUUUUUGUGUUGUCAGGGUCUAGCCACAAACUGUGAGCUGAUUCUCAGUUGCAGUCAAUCUCUCCGGACAAGCCAUUGAAAAGCGCGGUCUCGUAUCCCAACGGUGAAAGAAUGGUGUGGCGGAAACAAAGCGGCUUGGUGAAGUUCGUUGCGUAUCUGAUCCCUGAAAACAAACCCGUCCAUGAUUCUUCCAGCUGCGUCUGCAAUAGAAUGUUUCACAACAUGGACAUGAAAACUCCUACUAGAUUCAUCUAACGAAAAGUAACUACAAAGAAGAGGAGUGUACCGUGCAGUGUCCAUCGAUGAAAACAACGUGUGGACGAUUAGGCGAACCAGUGACUCUAGAGGAAACAUAAGUGCUGUACCAAUCUGUCACGAUAUGGAACAUAUUUGCAUACUCGAAUCAAGUGACUAGCAGAGUUGGCUCCUCCAUCCACUGGAGCCAAGGCAAAAACCAAAACCAAAACCAAAACCAAAACCAAAACAUCAAUCAACAAGUACAAUUUCAACGAUUCAUUACUCCAUUUCUUUAAUUGGAUCUGAUCUUCCAUGACAGACUUUUGUUUCAAGAAAAAAAACUUUCUAAUUAUAUAAUUUUAAAUAAAUCUUAUAAAUGAUUUAUAGACACUUAUAAAAAGUUUAUAUAUUUUCAUAUAAAUGAUUUUUAAGACUUUAUAAAUGAUUUUAUAAAACCUUAUAAAUAUUUGGUAUAUUCUUAUAAGUGAUUUUAUAAAGGUUUAUAAAUCAUUUAUAGGAAUAUAUAUAUAUAAACUAUUGAUAAAGGUUUAUAAAUGAUUUCUAAAUCUUUAAAAUGAUUUAUAAACAUUUAUAAAUUAUUUAUAAUCCUUAUAAAGCCUUAUAGACUGAUUUUAUAAAUUCUUAUAAAUGAAUUAUACUUUAAUAAUUUAUUUAGAAAGCCUUAUAGACUGAUUUUAUAAACUCUUAUAAAGUCUUAUUAAUUGUUUUAUAAACCAUUAUAAAUAAUCUUUUAUUUCUUAUAAAUAAUUUACAAACAUUUAUAAUAGAAUUAUAGACAAUUAUAAUAGCUUUAUGAAUAUUUACUUCUAAAGUUUUGUAAAGAUUUAUAAACUCUUACAAAAGAUUUAUAAACUCUUGAAAAAUAUUUAUUAACUCUUAUAAAUUGUGCUAUGAAGAAUAUUAAACUCUUAUAAUAUUUUUAUAGAACCUUAUAUACAGAUUCAUAAACUUUUAUAAAUAUAUUUAUAAAACCUUAUAAAUGAUUUAUCAGUUCUUAUAAAUGGUUUUAUAAACCCUUAUAAGAGGUUUCUAACAUGCAACAUAAUAUAGAUUAGCUAGAGCCCAAGCUGCGGCAAGACUACCUUCCUUUCCCUUGUAUCAGAACUUUGCAAUUGAUCAACCUUCUCGGUGGGAAGAUAAGGGCCAGUUUCAUCCAUCCUAGGACCAACAGAGCCUCUUCCACGUUUGUUCCUGUCAUUUACAAAGAGACUCAGAAGAUGAAGGAAGCUAAAGGUAACAGAAGCUAUAGCAAAUAGACAUAUACACCGUGAUUGGAGAAAAGACUCAAUCUCAUCAUCUCCUAAACCUUCAUCAUCAUCAUCCAAGUACAAUCUUUUGUCCGAUGAUGAUUGUUGAGUGAUCUUUCUCUCAUCAUUAAUGGAGCUACAUCUCUUAUCCAAAAUCCUUUUCGAGAAACUACUACUCCGCUUCAUUUGGCUACUGCUCCUGCUGCUUUCCUCUCUUGAUUUUCUUUUGAGCCUUUCGUUUUCUAGCUCCCGAGCCUUCCACAUCUCAUUGGUUUCUACCGCUCUGUUUGCUGUAUUAUGCUCAAGAACCAUGCAAGAGAUUAGAGUAAAUAAUUAACAACAUGUUGAGCUACAUUGAGUACUAGACAGACACGUAAGUCACAACAUUGAACUGUUAAGAAACGCAGAACCCAAAACAAAAAUUUCAGAUGCUGCCAACUUUCUUAUCGUGAAUCGACCAAUCACCAACAGUUAAACUAAUCCUCUUCCAAAAACAUGCAUCUAUUGCUUCAACGAACAAAAGAAUAUCACACACUAUACCAAUGCAAAGGCUUAUCCUUUUCAAUCUUAACUUUUGUAAAACGAAAAUAAGUGAAGGGUGGAAAGAAAAGCAUUACAUUGUUUAACACCAAGGACAGUUGCUGUGAGAAACCUUGAGUUAGGUCGAUGCCUUACAUUAGGCUUCCCAAGAUAAGCUCGGACACCAUCUUUUUCAGCUUGUCUCCUCAACUCUGCUGCUUCUCUCAACAGAACUGAAGCUAUUUGAUUUUCAGUUUCCAGAUCCAUCCACACAAGCAGGCUGUUAAAGUAACCAAACACUCAAAAUCUGAUAUAGAAAGCCCGAAAAUUUUCUGCCACAAGAACCGCACCGGUGGAAUAAGAGAGAGACGGUGGAUCUCCGGUGAAUCAGAGGCAGAGAGUAAGAAAAAAGAUCGCGAGAGAGAGAGAGGAAGAGAAGAGGAUCGCGAGAGAGAGAGAUAAGGUUAGGGCUAGUAUGGUCUUUUGAUCAUUAAUGAAAAGUGUAUUUGUGAAAAUAUCCUCAUUCUAGUGGUAUACUUGAAAUGUGGUACCAAAGAAAGUGUAAAAGUAAAAUUUUCCCUUUUUGUUUCUUGUUUAAUUAGUAUUUUUCUUUUUUUUUUGCAGCAAAAGGAUAUUCUAUUACUCAAACUUGAGGUGGUCUGGAUAGCCAAACCGGAAUAGAACAACCUAUAAAACAUAAAGGUCAAUGUAAAGAACGUGCACUCAUAGCUAACGAAUCUGCAAUCUCAUUUUGCGUCCUUGGGAAGUAGCUGAUCUUGAAGUCCGAAAAACACAACCGAAGAGUUUGAAUGAUUUCCAGUUCAGUUGAGAAGUUAGGCCAAGCUUGUGGCUGUUCUAUCAUUGCAAUCAGGUCUUUGCAAUCUGUCCUAAAUCUCUGACAGGUCGAGUGUUAUAUCAUUCUUUCCAUUGCCCAUUGUAGCGCUUCCAGUUCCGAGUGUAGUGAUGUUUCACGCCUCCUUAGAUUCCUUGUCCCCAUGAGUUGAAUCUUUCCCAUGGUAUCCUUCCACACCCAUCCCAAUCCACUAAACUGAGCUGUGGAGGUCUAUGAACUAUCCACCAUGCAAAUAUUAUUCAAGCUUAAGGCUUGUGUUUCUUCAGCAAUCUGUACCUGCAGAGGAACCGGUAUAGUUUCCCUCGCAUUAUACCAUGCUUGACAUUCGCUUUCUGCAUAUCUAAUUAGUAUUUUAUUAAAAAAUAAAAUUCAAUAUAUAAUAUAAAUUUAUAAUAAACUAUUUUGUUGAUGUAUUCUAGAAAGCUUAGAGCAACUUUAACGUCAAGUUCUUAAAAACAGGUUCUUAAAUGUAAAAUAUUACUGUUUUAAUUUGUUUUGUUUCAAUCAUAAAAUAAAAUCCAUAAAGUCAUUGAUGUAUUGACAUGUGAGAGGAGAUGUUACAGAGAGUUUCUUCCGGAUACUAAUUAAGGACCGAUUACUGUGUGUUUUUAAAUAUUUUUUUUAAUAUAUUUUCUUAAUGUGGUUGCCAAGCCAGUGUGUUCUAAGCUUUGCUUCAUCUUAUGGUCUUUUUGUGUACGCACUGUUUGGAAACUUUGUCUCGGCCCUUAACAAGUUCUUCAAGGUAUGAUGUGAUAGCUUUCCACAAAUCUUACACUUUCUUGUUCAACAUGAAGAAAUACCCUCUUGUUUUUUUCAUUGUUUUUUUUUUUCUAGUUUAUGGCCUCGUAUGCUCGAAUGAAUAGAUAAAGUUAGCUUGGAAUAAAAACUUAUAGGAAAAGUUCAUAUACGAGAUGGAUAUCUAUCUUAGAAAUGGACCAUUUUGUACAGUUUAAGAGUUUGGAACGGAAGUGAAACAAUCUGAAACUCGGAAGACCUUUUAUGAAAAUAUUGAAGAAACCUACCAUUGGAGAAGUUUGCCUGAACUCAUAAACGGUGCAGAUUUGUCCCAUCGAUUUAGCACCAAGCAUUUUAAUUGUACAGACUAGACCUUCUUCAUUAUAAUUGGACAAGGGUCCUCAUGUUUUGGUUGGUUUAAGAAACAACGUCUUGAUUUCGGCUCAAACUUCCAAUUAUAGAAUUUAGACCAUGUUAUACGCACUAUAAUUUUAGACCCUGUAACAUUAUUUAUGUAAAUGGCCCAAUACCUAAUUUUCUCCAUGGGCCUUUCCAGUUACAAACUACUACUUCCUAGUUACCCUUACGGUUAAAGCUAAAAUAUUUUUGAUAAUUUACUCGUAAAACAUCCAUCCGUAGAUAUUUGAGUGUGACUAUGGCUGCCUAAGAAAGUAUUCAAACGCAUAAAUUAUAUUUCUAAUUAGCAUGUGUAUAAGAACACGUAUUCAACUAGUAUGUAUUUUCUUUUAUUCAACUUCAUAUGAAGUUGUUGGUUCUGAUUAGAGGUACCAAUUCAAAUAUCAGAAACACCGAGAGGAUAAAAACCAUAACAAACAUGAAUAUCCAUAAGAAAUUAAAGAGACGACAUAU